rnacentral:rRNA from 1 species
AGCGUUGUUCGGACUUACUGGGCGUCAAGGGCUCGUAGGCGGCCAACUAAGUCAGACGUGAAAUCCCUCGGCUUAACCGGGGAACUGCGUCUGAUACUGGAUGGCUUGAGUUUGGGAGAGGGAUGCGGAAUUCCAGGUGUAGCGGUGAAAUGCGUAGAUAUCUGGAGGAACACCGGUGGCGAAGGCGGCAUCCUGGACCAACACUGACGCUGAGUGAGCGAAAGCCAGGGGAGCAAACGGG